rnacentral:rRNA from 1 species
CCUACGGGUGGCAGCAGUGAGGAAUAUUGGUCAAUGGGCGAGAGCCUGAACCAGCCAAGUCGCGUGAAGGAUGACGGCCCUACGGGUUGUAAACUUCUUUUGUCAGGGAGCAAUUGAGUCCACGUGUGGUCUUAGCGAGAGUACCUGAAGAAAAAGCAUCGGCUAACUCCGUGCCAGCAGCCGCGGUAAUACGGAGGAUGCGAGCGUUAUCCGGAUUUAUUGGGUUUAAAGGGUGCGUAGGCGGAAUAUCAAGUCAGCGGUAAAAAUUCGGGGCUCAACUUCGGAAUUGCCUCUGAUACUGUUCGGCUAGAGAGUAGUUGCGGUAGGCGGAAUGUAUGGUGUAGCGGUGAAAUGCUUAGAGAUCAUACAGAACACCGAUUGCGAAGGCAGCUUACCAAGCUACUUCUGACGUUGAGGCACGAAAGCGUGGGGAGCAAACAGGAUUAGAUACCCUAGUAGUC